GCCCCCCUGGCGGAAUUGGUAGACGCACGGGACUCAAAAUCCCGCGCCUUCGGGCAUGCCGGUUCGACUCCGGCGGGGGGCACCA
rnacentral:tRNA from 1 species